rnacentral:tRNA from 1 species
AACAAAUUUUAGGCGAGUCUUCUAAACUUGUUUUGGGUUUUCCCGUUUGUUU